AGCCAGCAACAGAUGCAAUGAGCUUCUCUUCUCCCAUAUACGUUCCAUGGCCCCUGAUGCAAGGCGAAGAUACAAAGAAAGGAUACGCGGGUAACUCGAGAUGAGGAAACUGACCGUGGAGAGGCAAUGCCGCUAAUAAGAUGUGAUGGUAGCAGGACUGGAACCCCAACUGUCUGAUUCAAAAGCCUUCCCUCUUAACCACAAUACACUGUACUACACCCCUUAGAUUCAAAAUGUGUAUAAAUGGGUGCAUGCAGCACGAUGUAACUGUUUGCCCUAAGCUCGAACAAUUACGGAUUCUAAACUGAAGAGGAGGCGGCCAAGGACGCCCACCGUCCCCUCACAGAGCUGAAAACUGGAAAAGAGCCUGCGCCUUUUCCCCUCCCCAGCUUUCCAGGUCUCCCACAAGGAAGGCUCAAAGAUUUGGACUUCGGGCAGAAGACCCAAAAGUCACAGCCACCGGAGGUCAGGAGUGGAGGGUUUCAGGGAGCUGAGACAAAUGCAGACGGGGACACACAAGAUGCAGGGGGCAAGAAGCACGAGGCUCGGAAGCGAGGCGAGGAGGAUGCUCAGACGAAGUGCCUUGGGUCCCGCGGGGAGUUACACACACAGGGAUACGAGGCCUGGACCACGUGCAGAGAGCCCUGAAGCCGCUCUCUGAAGCCUCGACUCCCCCAAGUCCCCACGUACCGCAUGAAUCCCGUGUCCGUAGUGAUUGUAUCCCCCGGCACCACUAGAUGUUUCUUGGUGUCGCGGCCCAGUCUCUCGCUAAGAGGCUUGCGAGCCACUGGAAGCCUCAUCUCCAU